rnacentral:rRNA from 1 species
AUGCUACCACGCUGCUGCUGGUUUCGCUGUCCGGGCGGGACCCUUUUUUCUUCAUCGCCUCCGCAGCGGCGUCGCGCCGUCUCUCCGGUAGCGCUCGGGGGCUCGACAUCGACCCGCCCCCAGAGCAGCCGCGAGGGGUGGCGCGUCCUCACCGUCGGUUUCGUCGUCACCACUGUUGCGACACCGGCUAUCCGUCCGCGCACGUGCCGCGCGCGCGGCCUCAUUUCGGUCGACCGUGGCCAUCCACACGCCGCUUGCGUUUGCUUCCCCCGCAUUGCGUUUGCUUUGGCCGACACACGAGCGCUCGCAUCUCCAUACUCCAUCUUUGCAAGCUAG